rnacentral:lncRNA from 1 species
AAGAAGCUGUGGAAAGCCGUUUCCAUUCUUGGUUCCCUCUGCUGUCCAUGGGUACUUGUUCGCUUCCUGAAGCAUCUCUUGGUGGCUGUUUUGCUUAGAGAGCAAACAAGGCUGCCCGGGCAGCGUGCUUUAGAUGUGGUAUUUAUUUUCAUAGUUCCUAUGAACACUUGGGAGGAAGAGCUGAGAAAGUGGACUUUAUUUUUCAAAUUUGAUGUCAUAAUAUUGUGUAAAAAGGAAAGAAACAGAAAAAAAAAAAAAAAAACACUCCCAGUAUUCCCCACUCCUCACUACCAUACAAGCCAAAGUGUGUCACUUUGAAUCCCAAGCCCUGGUGGCAGAGACGAUGGGGGUAUGGGUUUGGGGGGACUUUGCUGGGAAAACCAGGAGACUGUUACGGGACUCCCUGUUUGCACAUCUCACUCUCACAGUGUGGCAGAGGGGCCUUCUGAUGGUCUUCUCUACAUACCUAUGUAGCGUAUUUGUUUAUAUAUAAUAUAUAAAUAUUUAUUUACUGCUGGACUUUUCCUGAUUAGAAAUAAACAUAGUGUGGGAACAGGACAUGGGAAAGAAAAAAGAAGAAGGCCCUUACUCUUCCACUGUCGUUUGCUUGUAGAGACACAUUUCUCUGGCUGGUUUCAAGGUUUAUGAGAAUUAUCUACAUCCGGGGAGCAACUAUGAACACGUGCUGUUCAAGCCUCAUUCCCCCCCCCCCAUUGGUUGAUAAGGAAACUGAGUUGUGGAAAAGUUAAAGACUUCUCCAUUUUAUUGUGGAUAAGGAGGUUUGACUGUAAAUGUUACUAAGAAGGUCACUAACAAACAGAAGAACCUGCAUCUGGGGAAAGGGUUAUUUCUUGUCACUGAGGAUUGGUCGAUGUUGGAUCUAGGUUCCCAGCAAGGAACCAUCUUAUAGCCUGUGUGUGGAUGGAGCAAGCCCACACAAGAAAAUGGGAGGUGGAGAAUUGAGCUAACUUCCAAGUGCUUUAUGGCUUGUCCUACAUGGAGAGAAGUUGGCCUGAUGUUAAAGGCACCAGACAGAUCAAUUGAUUGAACUACUAUGUCAUCUCAUCAUGUCACCGAUCUUCUUGCUUUGGAUACCUUCCUGGGUACAUCUGUGACUUCUGUAAGAUGUUGCCAACCAGAACAGAAGAGUUUUGGCCCUGCUCAGUGGGCUUCAGUCAGCUGGUGCCAGCAUCUUCCUCCUCUCUGGAGGGCAACUCUAUACAGCAUCACUGGUAGAAAGCAACAGUUGCCUCAGGCCCCUGGCUCCCCUGGACCUUCAUUUCUGUCUCAAAUUUCUUAAGAGGAAAUCCAGGCCCAGUUUGACAUCACUCCACUGAGCUGCCUCCAGUCUUGCCAUAGCCAAGGAAGGGAAUAUGAAGAAUCUGUACAAGUUGAGCCCACCUCGGAAGGAAGCACUCUCAACUAGAAUCCAGGGCUGAGACUUGGAACCCUCCUGCUCAGCAAACAUGCUUCUACUGAGCAAGGGAGACACCAGGCCACAUAAAGAGCAUACUGGUGGGAUGCCUAGAGAUGUGACCAGCCAGCUCCGGAGUAAUAGCAAGCACUACUUUGGAAGACAAUUGAUUCAGAAACUGAGGCAGAUUCAACUUCAAGGUCACGGAUUCUAAAAAUUUCACAGAAGUGUUUGUAUAUGUUUCAGCUCUGACCCCCACGAGGUCACAGAUGUUGAGACAAUACUAUCAGUAGGUAAAACGGACUCACGAGUCUCUCGAUGGGGCCCUGCAGAGGUUAAAUGUUUCUUGAGAAACACAGCCCAGUUCUUUUCAAAGGCACAGAGUAUAAAAUGUGGCAUUGCACUUCUAAUUUGUUGUUGUUUAAUCUUACCUUACAAAUCAUCUUUUAAACACCAUGGCUGUGGUUUCUUAUUGUGUAGUGCAUCAUCCAAGUGACUCCCACACCAAGCUCUACGGCUAGCCAGCAAAGUAUUAUUAUUUCCACCUUGCAGAGGAGAGGGGGGGGGGCUUACUGGUGUUUAGUAGCUUCUUCAAGCUCCGUGGUCAAGGGAGAGCCUAGUCUCUCCUCUCUUCUCCUGCUCAUAUUCUUCUCACGCUGCAGACUUGUUCUCACCUGCCUUCCUGCUUCCGCCCCACUAGCAAUAAAAACAAUGAAACCG